AUGUCCAGGGUCUUUUCUGUGUGGAAUUUGCAGGUUCUCCCCGUGUCUGUAUGGGUUUCCUCCAGGUGCUCCGGUUUCCACCCGCAGUCCAAAGACAUGCAGUCAGGCCAACUGGACAUGCUAAACUGCCCCUGCCUUCCACCCAAUGAACCUCCAAACUGUUCCGUUCCACAGGGACUUCCAGCAGGCAGCAUGAGCAGUGUGAACUCCCCCGCCUGUCUGCUGGCACGAAACCAAUUCUACAGGACCAUCAGUCCCACUGAUAAAGAGAAGCCUGGGUGCAGUUCCUCUGAUAACCUGAAACAACCAAUGCAAAGUCAGGGGACUGUCUGGGUGAUCACUUCCUCACACCAAGGUGUCCCAGGACAAGAGACUGGAUUGAUGAUAAAUCUGAUUGUGAAGAACCCCUUCUCCAGCUCGGCCUCCUCCAAACAGCUGAGCCCAGCUGGCCCUGUGGUCAAAUAG
ensembl:lncRNA